GCGACGGCGGAUUGACAGAAGUAUGAUUGGAGAGCCCACAAACUUUGUGCAUACAGCUCAUGUUGGAUCAGGAGACCUGUUCAGUGGAAUGAAUUCAGUUAGCUCCAUUCAGAACCAAAUGCAGUCCAAGGGAGGUUAUGGAGGUGGAAUGCCUGCCAAUGUCCAGAUGCAGCUCGUGGAUACGAAGGCGGGAUAGCCCUGGUCCUUUCUCCAGGUUAUUGUGAAUUUCUAUAUUUUCUCUGUCCACUAUUCUGUAAUUUUUUUUUGUCCUGUGAUUGCUUUUAUUUUGAAUUACAAAAAAGAAGUGUGAUGGCACCUUGUCCACCCUGUCGUGAUUAUUCCAGUGAGAUGUUACUGUUCUGCUCUGAAGAAGAUACUGUCAGACGAAUCCUGCAUUUCCUUCAGCUGGCAUGCAUGCCUUUGGACUCAUGGACAGAGUUCUUUGGAUUGUCACUGAAUUUUCAAUGUUUAAUCAGUAUGGAUCUGAUCUUCGCAUGAUCUUUUUUGUGAAUGCUAACACCAUUUUGCAGUUUUUUUUUUCUAUUUUAAACAUUUUUCUUUUCACUGCCGACCCCCUGCCUUACGAUUUUAUUGGAAAGCAAGGACCUGCUAUUAUUUGUUAAUUUGCCAUCAUUUAUGUAUAUUUUGGAAGGUAUGAGACCCACAAGCACAAUGAUCAUUUUUAUUUGUUUGUUUGUUUGAAACUUCAGCAGAAUAGAUAUCUGCAUGCUUUAUGAAGUUGUUGCUUCGGUAAGAGCCCAUGGGAUGCCAGAAAUUAACAUUUCUUUGCUGCCAUGGGCUGAUGAUGCUGCUAUUAGAUAAAGUUUAGCUGUGGCACCAAGUCACAUCAUUUUCAUAGAAAAAGAUUACUUGUAGCUUAUUUUAGAAGUAUGACCUUUUGGUCUGUUUGAUUGAUUGAUUAGAAUUGCAAUAAAAGAAAAGCUUGCAUUCAUAAGGC
rnacentral:lncRNA from 1 species